rnacentral:rRNA from 1 species
ACAGUUAAAUUACUGCAGCUAUUUAAAAAAUUCAUUGAGCAGGUUAAACUUUCAAUAAAUAUAAUACCUGAAAGAAAUGUUUUUGAUAAACAGUCAGAAGUUAAUUAUGCUGAAUUCAUAAAAUCAAUAUUUAUAUAAAUUUACUAAUUAAAUCAUAAUUAAUAAAAUUAAUAAUUUAAUUAAUUAAUUUUGGUUUUAAUUAAAUAAAAAGUUAAUAAAAAAAUAUUUUAAAACAAGUUUAUAUAGAAAAAAAAUUUUAAUCCUACAAUUUUCUCUUAUUAAAACUAAAUUAUAAAGAUUAAAUUAGAUUAACCCAAUUUAAAUUAGUGAAAAAAAUUUUAUGAAAAAAAAAUAUAAAAACUAAAUCACCUAAAUUGAAUUUAUUAAACAAAAUAACCAGAUAUCAGAUUAAACGAUUUUCCUUUCGAAUCUUAAAUAAUUUUAUUAAAAUUUUUGUUACAAUUAAAAUCAAAUAGAUUUAAGAUCUUAAACUUUCGGGAAACACAAAUUUAUUAACAAAAAUUAAUUUACCCUGAUACAAAAGGU